GGCUAGAUAGCUCAGUGGUAGAGCUACUGGUAUAUGUCCAGGAGGGCCUGGGUUCAAUCCCCAGUCUGGUCA